CGGGUAAUUUGCGCAAUGGACGAAAGUCUGACGCAGCAACGCCGCGUGAGGGAUGAAGGCCUUCGGGUUGUAAACCUCUUUUCUCAGGGACGAUAAUGACGGUACCUGAGGAAUAAGCCACGGCUAACUACGUGCCAGCAGCCGCGGUAAUACGUAGGUGGCGAGCGUUGUCCGGAUUUACUGGGCGUAAAGAGCGCGCAGGCGGUCGUGCAAGUCGCGUGUGAAAGCCCCCGGCUCAACUGGGGAGGGUCACGCGAUACUGCUCGACUCGAAGGCAGGAGAGGGAAGUGGAAUUCCCGGUGUAGUGGUGAAAUGCGUAGAUAUCGGGAGGAACACCAGUGGCGAAGGCGACUUCCUGGCCGGUUCUUGACGCUGAGGCGCGAAAGCUAGGGUAGCAAACGGGAUUAGAUACCCCGGUAGUCCUAGCCGUAAACGAUGGACACUAGGUGUUGGUGGUAUCAACCCCGCCAGUGCCGAAGCUAACGCAUUAAGUGUCCCGCCUGGGGAGUACGGCCGCAAGGCUA
rnacentral:rRNA from 1 species